GACGAACGCUGGCGGCGUGCUUAACACAUGCAAGUCGAGCGGUAAGGCCCUUUCGGGGGUACACGAGCGGCGAACGGGUGAGUAACACGUGGGUGACCUGCCCUCAGCUCUGGGAUAAGCCUGGGAAACUGGGUCUAAUACUGGAUAUGACUCCACGGUGCAUGUCGUGGGGUGGAAAGCCUUGUGCGGCUGAGGAUGGGCCCGCGGCCUAUCAGCUUGUUGGUGGGGUGANGGCCUACCAAGGCGACGACGGGUAGCCGGCCUGAGAGGGCGACCGGCCACACUGGGACUGAGACACGGCCCAGACUCCUACGGGA
rnacentral:rRNA from 1 species